UGUUUCUACGUCUUGGUUAAUUGGAAUAAAUUCUUUAAUAUAGUAUUGUGUUAAUGUAUAAAAAUAUUUAGUAGAGGUCUCUGAUCCACAUUUUUAAAUUGUUCUCAGGAAAUUUUAUAUUAUAUGCCCCCCAACAGAGUGUGAAAUGGCCAAUUUUUCUCAAGACAGAAAAAUUGGUUUAUUCUUAACAUAUGCAGGGGUUAAAAAGUAAAAUGGAAAAAUGAUUAAUGGUUAAGUUUUUUUUAACAUUUCUCACAUAUAUAAAGAAAAUUAAUUCAAAAGUCUAUGCUGAAAGCACAUCUUAGUCUAUUCUUUACUUAAUUAAUAUGGACCCUGUGAUGUUUUCAAAGGAGUUUUCAAAUGAUUUAUAAAAUACAUAAUGAUCAACAAGGUUGAGAAUAUUACAGAAUAAGAAACAUAAAAAGCAUGGGCAAUAGAUUUUAGGCUCCCUAGUCUAGUGCUGGAUCAGAGUCAUCUGCAGGUGUAUGGUGUGUAAACGACAUCUGCUGAUGCUGUCUUACACUGAAGAUCAUUUUUAGAGGUACCUGUGAUGUUUUGUGAAAUAAAAAUGUAUUUCUAGUGAAUUUAUAAAGUUGUUGAUAAACAGCAACUGCUCUUUUUAAUUAGUAAUGAAAUGAUUUGCCUUAAUUGAAGUGUAAUUAUGACUUUGUGGAGAAAAAUGACAAUUUUGAACCCUUUCUUAAAUAAUUUCAGAAUUCCUUUGCUUACAACAUCUCCCAGAGUUAUUACUGACUAAAACUUACUAAGUUGCAAAAUGCUUUCUCAUUGCUUCUUUUAAACUAUAUAUCUUUUUGAAGAUAUUGAAGUGAUAAAUUGAAAAACAUGAGCCCUAGAAAGGGAAAAAAAUUGAGAACAGAAAAAUUUCCUUUGGAUAAUGAACCAACAUAUGUGGAACCAGAUCAUAAAAUAAAAGUUCUAUUGCUAACAAAACAAAUUUUAAAAUGAACACAUGCAUUUGCAGAUUGACCUUAAAACAAGAAAAAGAAAAAAGAAGAAGUGCUGAAAUUUUAUAUAUAAAUAUUAAGGAGCAAUUAAGAAGUAAAGAAGAGCUGAGUGAACGACAAGAAGCAAAGGAGUUACAAACAAAGGUUGUAAGGUGCAUUCAGAAGUUCAGAGAUGACAUAAAAAAGCUUGAAGUUGAAAAUGCCGAGUUAAAAGUUACAGUCAAGGAGCAAGCAGGCCAAAUUGAACAGCUUCAGAAAGACCUGUUAAGUUCAAGUUCGGCUUAAGAACCACUUAAUAAACAUGUUAAGAAGGAUAUUAAGUAAAUAUGA
rnacentral:lncRNA from 12 species